UGGGGUAUCGCCAAGCGGUAAGGCAACGGACUUUGACUCCGUUAUUCGUAGGUUCAAAUCCUGCUACCCCAG
rnacentral:tRNA from 1 species